UACGUAGGGCGCGAGCGUUAAUCGGAAUUACUGGGCGUAACGCGUGCGCAGGCGGUUUGGUAAGACAGAUGUGAAAUUCCCGGGCUUAACCUGGGAACUGCAUUUGUGACUGCCAGGCUAGAGUGCGGCAGAGGGGAGUGGAAUUCCGCGUGUAGCAGUGAAAUGCGUAGAUAUGGGGAGGAACACCGAUGGCGAAGGCAACUCCCUGGGCCUGCACUGACGCUCAUGCACGAAAGCGUGGGGAGCAAACAGG
rnacentral:rRNA from 1 species